AUUGAACGCUGGCGGCAGGCCUAACACAUGCAAGUCGAACGAGUGGCGGACGGGUGAGUAAUGUCUGGGAACCUGCCUGAUGGAGGGGGAUAACUACUGGAAACGGUAGCUAAUACCGCAUACCAGCGGAUGUGCCCAGAUGGGAUUAGCUAGUAGGUUGGGUAAGGGCUCACCUAGGCGACUAUCCCUAGCUGGUGUGAGAGGCUGACCAGCCACCCUGGAAGUGAGACACGGUCCAGACUCCAACGGGAGGAAGCAGUGGGGAAUAUUGCACAAUGGGCUCAAGUCUGAUGCAGCCAUGCCGCGUGUAUGAAGAAGGCCUUCGGGUUGUAAAGUACUUUCAGCGGGGAGGCGUUACCCGCAGAAGAAGCACCGGCUAACUCCGUGCCAGCAGCCGCGGUAAUUC
rnacentral:rRNA from 1 species